rnacentral:rRNA from 1 species
AGAGUUUGAUCCUGGCUCAGGAUUAACGCUGGCGGCAUGCCUAAUACAUGCAAAUCGAACGAAGCCUUUUAGGCUUAGUGGUGAACGGGUGAGUAACACGUAUCCAAUCUACCCUUAAGUUGGGGAUAACUAGUCGAAAGAUUAGCUAAUACCGAAUAAUAACAUCAAUAUCGCAUGAGAAGAUGUAGAAAGUCGCUCUUUGUGGCGACGCUUUUGGAUGAGGGUGCGACGUAUCAGAUAGUUGGUGAGGUAAUGGCUCACCAAGUCAAUGACGCGUAGCUGUACUGAGAGGUAGAACAGCCACAAUGGGACUGAGACACGGCCCAUACUCCUACGGGAGGCAGCAGUAGGGAAUUUUUCACAAUGGGCGCAAGCCUUAUGAAGCAAUGCCGCGUGAACGAUGAAGGUCUUAUAGAUUGUAAAGUUCUUUUAUAUGGGAAGAAACGCUAAGAUAGGAAAUGAUUUUAGUUUGACUGUACCAUUUGAAUAAGUAUCGGCUAACUAUGUGCCAGCAGCCGCGGUAAUACAUAGGAUGCAAGCGUUAUCCGGAUUUACUGGGCGUAAAACGAGCGCAGGCGGGUUUGUAAGUUUGGUAUUAAAUCUAGAUGCUUAACGUCUAGCUGUAUCAAAAACUGUAAACCUAGAGUGUAGUAGGGAGUUGGGGAACUCCAUGUGGAGCGGUAAAAUGCGUAGAUAUAUGGAAGAACACCGGUGGCGAAGGCGCCAACUUGGACUAUCACUGACGCUUAGGCUCGAAAGUGUGGGGAGCAAAUAGGAUUAGAUACCCUAGUAGUCCACACCGUAAACGAUCAUCAUUAAAUGUCGGCCCGAAUGGGUCGGUGUUGUAGCUAACGCAUUAAAUGAUGUGCCUGGGUAGUACAUUCGCAAGAAUGAAACUCAAACGGAAUUGACGGGGACCCGCACAAGUGGUGGAGCAUGUUGCUUAAUUUGACAAUACACGUAGAACCUUACCUAGGUUUGACAUCUAUUGCGAUGCUAUAGAAAUAUAGUUGAGGUUAACAAUAUGACAGGUGGUGCAUGGUUGUCGUCAGCUCGUGUCGUGAGAUGUUGGGUUAAGU